rnacentral:rRNA from 1 species
UCAUAUGCUUGUCUCAAAGAUUAAGCCAUGCAUGUCUCAGUGCAAGCCGUCCUGUACGGUGAAACCGCGAAAGGCUCAUUAAAUCAGUUAUGGUUCCUUAGAUAGUACCCACACUUACUUGGAUAACUGUGGUAAUUCUAGAGCUAAUACAUGCCGACUGAGUUCCGACGGGCACGCGUGUGGUGCAAGCCAUGCGUCGUGUUCGGCAGGAACG